AAGUCGAACGCGUGUAGCAAUACACGAGUGGCGGACGGGUGAGUAACGCGUGGGAACCUGCCCAGAUGGUAGGGAAUAACUGCGGGAAACUGCAGCUAAUACCCUAUGAGCCCUACGGGGGAAAGAUUUAUCGCCAUUGGAGGGGCCCGCGUCGGAUUAGCUAGUUGGUAGGGUAACGGCCUACCAAGGCAACGAUCCGUAGCUGGUCUGAGAGGAUGAUCAGCCACACUGGGACUGAGAUACGGCCCAGACUCCUACGGGAGGCAGCAGUGGGGAAUAUUGGACAAUGGGGGAAACCCUGAUCCAGCAAUGCCGCGUGAGUGAAGAAGGCCUUAGGGUUGUAAAGCUCUUUCGGCGGGGACGAUGGUGACGGUACCCGCAGAAGAAGCCCCGGCUAACUUCGUGCCAGCAGCCGCGGUAAUACGAAGGGGGCUAGCGUUGUUCGGAAUCACUGGGCGUAAAGGGCGCGUAGGCGGCGCGACAAGUCAGGCGUGAAAGCCCCGGGCUCAACCCGGGAAUUGCGCUUGAUACUGUCGUGCUUGAGGCCGGGAGAGGAUGGCGGAAUUCCCAGUGUAGAGGUGAAAUUCGUAGAUAUUGGGAAGAACACCGGUGGCGAAGGCGGCCAUCUGGACCGGUUCUGACGCUGAGGCGCGAAAGCGUGGGGAGCAAACAGGAUUAGAUACCCUGGUAGUCCACGCCGUAAACGAUGAGUGCUAGACGUCGGGGGGUUCACCCUCCGGUGUCGCAGCUAACGCUUUAGCACUCCGCCUGGGGAGUACGGUCGCAAGAUUAAAACUCAAA
rnacentral:rRNA from 1 species